UGUUGCUUCGAUGGUGCUUAAGAAAGAGUUGAGAAGAAGAUUUGCAGAGAAUCGAAGGUGGCGAUUUUGCAGAAUAUUGAGAUGAUGAUGAAUUCCGAGAGAGCAUUGAUGGUGAAGAAAAUCGAAGAGUGGAGUUGAGAAGGAAGAAAAGAUGAAGGUUGCAGGUUUGGAAAAGUGCAGCAAUUGAAGGUUGAUGUGUGGCUGUAGUGUGCAGGGUGGCUGAAGUACUGUUGUGAAGUGAGGUUAGAAAUUGAUGCCGACAACAUACUUUAAAGAAUGGUCAGAGAUUACAAAGUGGAGUUUGGAGCAGUGAUUGGAAGGUUUAGGAACAAAGGAUCUCAUGUAUAGAAGCAAUGUAGUAGCAUGAUAUUUAGAUUUCUAGAUGUGUAUUCUUUGUGUAAUAUGACUUGGACCAUAAUGUAAUGAAUUUUUGAAUUUGUACUGAA